GAUGAACGCUGGCGGCGUGCUUAACACAUGCAAGUCGAACGAUGAAGCCCAGCUUUCUCGGUGGAUUAGUGGCCAACGGGUGAGUAACUCGUGAGUAACCUGCCCUUCACUCUGGCUUAAGCCUGGGAAACUGGGUCUAGUACCUGAUAGGAGCGUCCACCGCAUGGUGGGUGUUGGAAAGAUUUAUCGGUUUUGGGUGGACUGUCGGCCUAUCAGCUUGUUGGUGAGGUAUUGGCUCACCAAGGCCUCGACUGGUAGCCGGCCUGAGAGGGUGGACGGCCACCCGAGGACUACGACACGGAGCAGAAUCGUACGUGAGGCAGAAGUGGAGAAUAUUGCGCAAUGGGCGCGAGCCUGAUGCAGCGGCGCCGCGUGCGGGAUGACGGCCUUCGGGUUGUAAACAUCUUUCAGUAGAGAAGAAGCGAAAGUGACGGUACCUGCAGAAGAAGCACCGGCUAACUACGUG
rnacentral:rRNA from 1 species